UACGGAGGGGGCUAGCGGUGUUUGGCCUUACUGGGCGUCAAGCGCGCGUAGGCGGAUUGUUAAGUCGGGGGUGAAAUCCCGGGGCUCAACCCCGGAACUGCCUUCGAUACUGGCAAUCUGGAGUUCGAGAGAGGUGAGUGGAAUUCCGAGUGUAGAGGUGAAAUUCGUAGAUAUUCGGAGGAACACCAGUGGCGAAGGCGGCUCACUGGCUCGAUACUGACUCUGAGAUGCGAAAGCGUGGUCAGCAAACAGG
rnacentral:rRNA from 1 species